rnacentral:rRNA from 1 species
AACGAACGCUAGCGGCAUGCCUAACACAUGCAAGUCGAACGAAGGCUUCGGCCUUAGUGGCGCACGGGUGCGUAACGCGUGGGAAUCUGCCCUUGGGUUCGGAAUAACAGUGAGAAAUUACUGCUAAUACCGGAUGAUGUCGAAAGACCAAAGAUUUAUCGCCCAGGGAUGAGCCCGCGUAGGAUUAGCUAGUUGGUGAGGUAAAGGCUCACCAAGGCGACGAUCCUUAGCUGGUCUGAGAGGAUGAUCAGCCACACUGGGACUGAGACACGGCACAGACUCGUACGGGAGGCAGGAGUGGGGAAUAUUGGACAAUGGGCGAAAGCCUGAUCCAGCAAUGCCGCGUGAGUGAUGAAGGCCUUAGGGUUGUAAAGCUCUUUUACCCGGGAUGAUAAUGACAGUACCGGGAGAAUAAGCCCCGGCUAACUCCGUGCCAGCAGCCGCGGUAACAC